ensembl:lncRNA
UUUUACAUGACAACAUCAAAACAUCUGGGAAUAAUGUCAUGUUGCAAUGGUCGUUAUGAGUAUGGUACUUUAAUCAGAAUUCAAGUGGUGUAACUAUUCCAAUGGAUAAAAUGAUACAGAGGGGUUCCAUAAACAGGAAGUAGUAUUAUACAGUACAGGAAGUAGUAUUAUACAGUACAGAGGUUCCAUAAACAGGAAGUAGUAUUAUACAGUACAGAGAGGUUCCAUAAACAGGAAGUAUUAUUAUACAGUACAGAGAGGUUCCAUAAACAGGAAGUAGUAUUAUACAGUACAGAGAGGUUCCAUAAACAGGAAGUAGUAUUAUACAGUACAGAGAGGUUCCAUAAACAGGAAGUAGUAUUAUACAGUACAGAGGGGUUCCAUAAACAGGAAGUAGUAUUAUACAGUACAGAGAGGUUCCAUAAACAGGAAGUAGUAUUAUACAGUACAGAGAGGUUCCAUAAACAGGAAGUAGUAUUAUACCGUACAGAGAGAUUCCAUAAACAGGAAGUAGUAUUAUACAGUACAGAGAGGUUCCAUAAACAGGAAGUAGUAUUAUACAGUACAGAGAGGUUCCAUAAACAGGAAGUAGUAUUAUACAGUACAGAGGGGUUCCAUAAACAGGACGUAGUAAAAUACAGUACAGAGGGGUUCCAUAAACAGGAAGUAGUAUUAUACAGUACAGAGAGGUUCCAUAAACAGGAAGUAGUAUUAUACAGUACAGAGGGGUUCCAUAAACAGGACGUAGUAAAAUACAGUACAGAGGGGUUCCAUAAACAGGAAGUAGUAUUAUACAGUACAGAGAGGUUCCAUAUACAGGAAGUAGUAUUAUACAGUACAGAGGUUCCAUAAACAGGAAGUAGUAAAAUAUAGUACAAAGGAGUUCCAUAAACAGGAAGUAGUAUUAUACAGUACAGAGAGGUUCCAUAUACAGGAAGUAGUAUUAUACAGUACAGAGGGGUUCCAUAAACAGGAAGUAGUAUUAUACAGUACAGGAAGUAGUAUUAUACAGUACAGAGAGGUUCCAUAAACAGGAAGUAGUAUUAUACAGUAUAGUCUAACAUCUGAACUCUCUCACUGAGGUUUGUGCCUUUAAUGUACCAGGUAUCCCUCCCUAAACCCUCCAUAGACCCUCCAUACCCUCCAUAUACCCUUCCAUAGACCCUCCAUAGACCCUCCAUAGACCCUCCAUAGACACUACUGUAAUGUCCUCUAUCAGAAUACAUCAACCAUCCAUAGACCCUCCAUAGACCCUCCAUAGAUAUACCCUCCAUCCAUAGACCCUCCAUAGACCCUCCAUAGACCCUCCAUAGACACUACUGUAAUGUCCUCUAUCAGAAUACAUCAACCAUCCAUAGACCCUCCAUAGACCCUCCAUAUACCAUCCAUAGACCCUCCAUAGAUCCUCCAUAGACCCUCCAUAGACCCUCCAUAGACCCUCCAUAGACCCUCCAUAUACCCUCCAUAGACCCUCCAUAGACCAUCCAUAGACCCUCCAUAGACACUACUGUAACCCUCUAUCAGAAUACAUCAACCAUCCAUAGACCCUCCAUAGACCCUCCAUAGACCCUCCAUAUACCAUCCAUAGACCCUCCAUAGACCAUCCAUAUACCCUCCAUAGACCCUCCAUAGACCCUCCAUAGACCCUCCAUAUACCCUCCAUAGACCCUCCAUAGACCCUCC